CUCCUCCUCCGCCGCCUCCUCCUCCUCCUUCUCUUCUUCCUUUUUCUCCUCCCCCACCCCACUGGAGUGCCCACCGCCCUGGAGAGGGCCCGACCCGCCCAGAGCCAGCCAGGCAGCCUGGCGGCGAGGGAGGACGCGUCAGCUGGGAGCAAGAAUAGGAGGCCGGUGGGAGGAGGAUGGAGGAGAUAGAGGACGGAGGGCUCCAGGGUGCUCUAGCUCGCUCCCAUCUCUCAGCCUAGUUCAAAACCCCGUCCCCAGGCCGGGCCCGCUGGGGCACUGCCCAUUCUCCUGGUGGAGAGCCCGACCUCCCUUAUGCCUAGUCCUCCCUAGCCCAUGUCCCUGCCGAGCCACAGAACCAAGGAGUACUGGGGCUGCCGCCGUCUGCGCCGGGGCCGGGAGAGGGAGGAGGAAGGUGGGGGGCACCCAGCAAGAAAAGUCUGGAGUUGGGCUGGCAGUGGUAAGGUGAGACAGGGUGCGUGGCUGGAGACAGCGCAGCGGAGAGCCCAGCGGCUGGACUUUUUCCUCCUCUUUUUUUUUCUUUCUCCCGGGGUGGGGGUGGAUGGUGGAUUUGGGCUUGUUAGGGCUAAAGCCUCGAGCCCCAGGGGAGCCCAGGCUAAUUCUGGCGAGCGCACCGCUGCGUGACGAGCAUCUGCCACCCAGCCCCAGAGCCCGAGAAGAGGAGGAGGAGGAAAGCGGGCCCAGCCUUGGCACGGGGGUUUCGCCCCCCGCUCCCUGCCGGACUCGGGAGACAAAGCAGCAGCUUCCCCAUCUCCUCCGGCUCCGGGUCGGGAUCCCACCGAGAACUGAGUCAUGUGCAUGCAGCGUGUUUCCUACCCGGGCACGGAGCCAUGCUGGAGGCUGGGGAAAGGAAGGCUGGGGCUAGGGGAUGGAGACGUCGGGCAUUCCCCCCACCCCCAGCCCCUUGUCCAGAUCCGGGAUCCUGCAUACUCCAGCCCAAGUCACGGGGUGUCAAAAGCUUCCAAGUGGGUGAGAAGACUGCCUGGGCGCCCAGGCUGGCUGAGCUCCUGGAGCUCAGGGAGACGGGAUGCACUGGGAGACUAGCGGGCAUCCCCCGAACCAGAAAAAGGGGGGCCAGGAGAUCCCUGAAGCCCCCAGGUAGCCAGGACUGGAGGGACCAACCCAUCCCUCCACUACGGGCUAGGACGCUGGCUGCACAAAGCGUGGCCCCUUCACCCCGCUUUAGUCCCUGCCCUCCGGGCUUUGCUCGGUUCUCCAUCCCUUGCAGAAGCCAAAGCUUCUUUCCGGAGAUGCGGGGAACUUUGCAAUGUGGACCAGCAGCGCGCUGAGGCGGGGAUGCCUCGGCAGACAACAUCGGCUGAGUCAUUCUCGCCUGGUCCAGGAACUCAACUCGGCUUUGACACUAGGAUGCGCACAGCCAGCCCUGCCUUCUGCGAUGCCUAAUUAGACCUGGUACUUUCGCCCAUUGGUCCAUGGUGCGGCAGAGGCUGCUGCCUUCAAGGAGAAAGGGGGGAGGCCGCAGAGGGGAGGGCGGGAUGUCCCUUGCCUUGGUUUCAUUUAUUUCCACGACUUGGGCUUCACUUUUCCUCCUCCCCCUCCCCACUUUCAUCCCAUUUAAAUGGAAAUCUGGGCCCUAAAACAGCUGGCUUGCCAUCCCAGCCCCCCAGAGCCGUUCCGAUGAGAUCAUAUAGCCUGCCCGGACCCCACCGUACAGGAGAUGCAAGGGGCGAGCACAGCUGACAAAAACCUGGAAAGUUGGGGAGAGCUUGGCUUGUAGCCCUGACGCUUCUAGGGGCGGGGAGCAGGCCAGUCCCCUGCCUGCCCACCACCUACCCCCUCCCACCCUCUGGAAAACUGAGAUGUGAUUGGAGAAUUGGGAAGGAGACUAGAAAGGGCCAGCUUGCUUUUGAGGGGGAGGAACUGAGCUCCCGCUUUGUUCACUCCCCACCCCCACCCCCAGCCCAGCUCUGGGCUGCCUGCCAUCCAGGGAGUCGUUCUCUGCCUAGGUUUACUAUGGCUCAUUCUAGGUAUUGCCAGGUGCCCAUCCUCAGCCAGACAGAAGGUAAAGAUUUCUGUGGAUGGGCAACCAGGUGUGUAAGCUUUCCCCAUGCCUUAGUUCUUCUCUGAGCAAGACUGCCCAAACGAGGUGCCUUAUCCUUGGGAUUGGGGACAGAGCUCCUACUGUGCCAAGUUCUUUUGACUUUCUUAGUUGUGGGCAGGAAGAAAGGCAGUCUCACUACCACCUCUGUGGCUUCCACAGCAGACUUACUAGUGAAGCUCCCUCCUUGUCCCCCUUCCCCAAAUCCCAUUGGGAGACAGCAUUGUUUGGGUGCUCUGGUGUGAGGCUCCAGUCCUUCAAGUGAAGUCAGUGGCAUCCUAGAGAUGUCUUGAGAUGCACUCAAGAGGUGGCAUCCCUUGUUCCCAGGUUCUAGGAGACAGGGGUGGAGUGAAAUGGAUCCUCCUUCAUUGAUUUGUGACCUUCUGCUGUUUUUGGAAGAUCCCACUUUGCUCUUCCUACCCAGGCUAACCCAAGCAGUGCUGGGGCUACAAAGGCAAAAAUGACAAUGUCUCUACCCUGGAGGCCCUUACAUGUCCCCCUAUUCCCCAGGCUACUUCCCCAGCACAGUUGGAAGGUAGGGACCUCAGAGGUUUGUUGACUCUUAUUUUCCAUAGAAUUCUAGGUGUAACCCUAAGGGGCUGGGCUUCCUAGUAGUUACUCACCAGACAGGGACCAGUGCGCUUCCCCAUCAACACCCAAUCAGACUCGAUUGGCUUUUGGGAAAGGAAUUUUCUGAAGUGUGUGAGAACAAUAGUUAAAGACUGUCUCCCCAGAUAUCUUCCUUGGCACACAUUCUCAGUAGAGGAGGGACUCAAAUUUAAAGGGCAAAAGUCAUGAGGCACCAAAGUGGAGAACACCCAUUCCCAAGGGGUAGCUACCUAGUUAUGGCAAGUCCUUUUUUCCCUUGGUAGAGUUCCCAUCAAGUUCCCUUUGGUGAAGCUCUCUCCUGGCCUUGGACAACUGGUGGCUUUCUAGAGUCCAACAACUGGUAUUCCCUCUGCCACAAUGAGUCACCCUGCCUAAAGCUUGCUUCUUCCCACAGUUACAGAUCCUUCCUUAUCUUGCCGUCAGUGACUAUGUGUGGAUUGCCUUCUACUGGUCUAAUCUCUCUAAUAGCCUGGCCAAUGGGGGAAUGUGAGGGAGAAGAGUAGAGCACUUCCUUCUCCUUGGUUCCCUACUCUGCCCUCACUCCCAAAGUGCCCAGGUUCUGUUUCCUCAAAGCCUUUCUGAUUCUAAAGUCCACUACCAAGAGAAUUCUUCGAUGCUGGACCAAGCCAACUGUUGGCAUGUUUCUGAUGCUUAAAAUCCCUGAGGUAUGUUGUUCCCUUGAAAAAGUGAGCCAAUCUACUCUUUCCUUCUUGACCCACCUCAUUAAAGGUAUGGGAACCAUCUUGUUUAGAUAUGUCAAACUUCGUUGCACGUGAUUCCCCUUCCACUCAGCAUCCUGCAGCCAUAUUGAUUGGGGUGAAUGUAAGACAAACCUUAUGUGCAAAAUCAAUACCAAGCAAUGGGGGUAGGGGGUGGACAACUGGGAAGAUCAGGGAAGGAGGAGACAGCAGGUGAACUUGAAGGAAGCAAGGUUCCAAGAGGCAGAGGUGACAGAAUAAAGGACAAACCUUCCUCUCCA
rnacentral:lncRNA from 1 species